GAUGAACGCUGGCGGCGUGCCUAAUACAUGCAAGUCGAGCGAACAGACGAGGAGCUUGCUCCUCUGACGUUAGCGGCGGACGGGUGAGUAACACGUGUAUAACCUACCUAUAAGACUGGGAUAACUUCGGGAAACCGGAGCUAAUACCGGAUAAUAUAUUGAACCGCAUGGUUCAAUAGUGAAAGACGGUUUUGCGGUCACUUCUAGAUGGAUCCGCGCCGCAUUAGCUAGUUGGUAAGGUAACGGCUUACCAAGGCAACGAUGCGUAGCCGACCUGAGAGACUGAUCGGCCACACUGGAACUGAGACACGGUCCAGACUCCUACGGGAGGCAGCAGUAGGGAAUCUUCCGCAAUGGGCGAAAGCCUGACGGAGCAACGCCGCGUGAGUGAUGAAGGUCUUCGGAUCGUAAAACUCUGUUAUUAGGGAAGAACAAAUGUGUAAGUAACUAUGCACGUCUUGACGGUACCUAAUCAGAAAGCCACGGCUAACUACGUG
rnacentral:rRNA from 1 species